rnacentral:tRNA from 1 species
UACUCGCUUGGUGAAAUUUGGUAAACACGAUGGAUUUAAAAUUCAUUCUCAUUUUAAGAGUUACUGGUUCAAGUCCGGUAGCGAGUAU